ACCUCGCUCCCGGGACUCGCCAGCGAGGGAUGCCGCCGGCCGCCGGGGGCCUUCUCCAGGACCAGGAGAGAAAUCCUCUCUCCGCUUCACGACGCGGCCACUCCCACCCCUGAGACGCCCACCUGGCGGACUCUGAGGGAGGAUUCGGCUGCGUCUAAUACCACCUCCACCCCUCAUCCCUCACAAUGCGCGGAAAACCACAGGCGGCUGUGCGCGCAGCGUCGGCUCAGCCACCGCAGCUCCUCCCCUGGGAUGAAAAAGCACUCUGACGUCUUGAAAGCUGGCAGCUCUCUGUUUGGAAAAUCUCUGCCCAGUGAAAAAAUGUACCGACAAGAUUACUAAGUAACACAGUCUUCUGGGAAUGCCUUAUCAAUGCCAGCUAUUUGAAGAGCACCCAAAGUCAAACUAGUGCUCCGCGCUGGCAGUCUGGAAAAGGCAGAUGUAUUGUUAAACAGGAAAUGGAGAAACAGGCACCAAGAAGAAAGGAGAGAGAUGAGGCGUUCUAUGAACAUCUGUCCCUGAUGAAUUCCAAGGAAAGACGGGCCCACUCAUGAGAGAUCUACUACCCCCCGCAACCCAUGUAUUCUAGGAUCCACGCAGCUCUUUUCAGCCACAAUGUGGGCAUUCAUUAGCUAUGCCAAUCAGUUGCUCAGACUCGGACUUUGAACCGGGGCUAACAUUACAAAGAAGUGGAAGCCAUGAAGAAUCUAUUCUGUGGGAGGCCUAGGGUCACAACAGCAGCAACAUCAAGUUUUCAAGAACAGAAGCAGUGCUCUGAGCUGAUAUACUCUAUAAAUGAUGUCCUUCUGCUCCACAUGCAUGCGGAAUCUUUUCACUUUUUCAAAGAUGGCUUUGGCCUGUUCACCCUCCUUCUUGUCCAGGACACUGGAAGUUGGGCUUUCUAUGCCAGCUGACUCCAAACCUGGCUGUGGGUAGGGCAAUGACUGUUUGCCGGAAUCUAUGUCAGCUGAACACCCUGAGGACGAAAGCAAAAUCUUGGACUUGGAGAGUUUCAGAGGCCUCACUGACUGCUCAGCCACUGUUUCUGAAAGGGCGCGGGUGGUCCAUGGAGAAUCGAAGCACUUGUGAAGGAUGGCCACAAAAUGCUCGAGCCUGGAACUGGUACUGGGGUAGUGAAGCCAAAAGUUGCUGCAGGCUGCAAAGAUGAGCGUGUGCAAGAGCACCAGAUAGGGGAAAAACUUUGCAAACCAAUGGAGCUGUUUCUCGUAACAGACGGCAUCAAUAUAGGAGUACUGCUGUCGGUGGAGGUCAUUCUGAAUUCGGAGGGGGAGCGGAAGCGGUGUCCCAGGAUUAGAGGAUGUGUUCAUGCUGGCUUUCAGGAUGUCCCAAGGCACGGCACAGUGAUUGUCAAAUUCCACUUUGCAUGGAAGACAGCACAGAACCCUGCUCUGCGUCAGCUGGAGAGCUCCGGCCAGCACGGCCACCAGCAGCAUGAUCAGUGUGAUGUAAUACCAGAAGACGUCCCACCAUGGUUUUAAGAUGUGAUAAGAUGACUGGGCAUCUGCUAAGCAUUUUAGCUCAGUUAGUGUAAUCAUGACUUUCCCUUGUAGGAGGACAGAAACUGGAAGAGGGAAAUAAAAGAAACACUACUGAA
rnacentral:lncRNA from 1 species